AGUAGUUAAGAAGUAGUUCUAUGUGAUUUAUGAGAUGGAGUUCAGAAGACCUAGACCUAGGUAGAGUGAAUGAUGGAAAAGAGUUUCCAUCAGAUUUUAUAAAUGAACUUCCAUCGAAUAAAUUUUACAUAUGACAGAUGAUAGGAUUUGAUAAGUUUUUCAUGAUCUUCGUUUUGUUGGGACUCACGGUAGAAGAACUAAAUCACACGGUAACUACAUCUAGAGAUUUAUUUUUCUAUUCUGCUGGAUUGUCACUACAUACUAUUAGACAUUACUGAUAGAUUAUAGGAUCAAUGAGAAUUAUUUUAAUGGUCAAUUAUUCUCGAUUGAUAAGUUGGAAUUAUUUCAAUCUAUUGAAAGAAGUUUCAAUGAUAUUUUGAUAGAGAUCAAAAUAUUUCUUACUACCAGAUAGAAUAGAACCUAUAGAGUCAUAUAUAAAAGAGGUCCUGA
rnacentral:lncRNA from 1 species